rnacentral:lncRNA from 1 species
UCCUGUUCUGAUGUUAACUUUAUAUCAUCAAAGCGUCAAACUCUAGGGUUAGGUUGGCCGUCGCCGCCGUCUGCUAUAGCAGUGACCUUCCUCUAUUUUCAUUAUUUUUAUUGCUUAUUUUUCUCCGUUUACUUGAAUUUUUUGCUGGAGCUCGUAAGAGCUUGGAGAGAUGCUAUGAGGAGAAACGAAGAAAAUAAUCGGAUUGCGGCGGUGUGUUUUUCAAAAUCAUCUCCGCAAGAUGAGCUUCCAUCCUCUAUGGUUCGUAUUCACUGAGCAGCUCUUUUUUUUUUCACUUCCACCAAACGAUUCAUAUUUUCAGAAAAAUUUAUAUCUACUUUUUUUAGAGUUAUCUUCCUGCUGAGUUUUGAGAUGCAUAUAUCGAAGGUCCUAUGGACGAAGCGCAAAAAACACAACGCGCUUCCGGCCAAGUUUGCUUUCGGAUAUCAAUUUCAGAAUCCGGAUCUCCGAACCUGAAUUAUUCGGGUUCGGAUUGCUUCGUACUCGGAUCUGAUUUCUGACAUUUUUAUGUUGAUUUUUUCUUAAUAUAUGUUUUCUCCUUAAAGAAUUAUUAGCACAAGUGAUUUUAAAGCGAAGGUUCCCAGCGGAGAGGGUUUAAACUCUAGAACGAGACCUCUCUAACACAAUAAAAAAUACCUUCGCAUAUUAAACAUUUGCCGAAUCGUAGGAAGCUCCUAAUUGAUCCGUUUUGGUGCUUCUUGAACCCUUGGCUAAAUUUAUAAACUCAUUUCUCUUUCAACUUCUAUCUCUUUAACUGCUUUUGCUGUAUAUUAUGUCGGAUGAACACUGAUUCAUCCGAUGAAUUUCGGACAAGGAUAUGUAUGUACUCAAUUUCUCAACAAUCUCUUGAGCUAUGGCCUUUGAGGACGUCUUUAAUAAAAGAAAUCCAGACUACUAGUCUUGUGGUAUUAUACUUAAAUUGUAAUGUGACCAAAUUUAAUUAUGGUAUUAUACUACACCAUAGUCUUGUGGAACUAAUUCUGCAUAAGCUAUUAUUAAAGCUGAGGAAUUUGUCUUUCAUUAUGAGCUAAAUUUUAUUAUUAAUGACAACGAUAAGCCAAAUUUCAACGAAAUGUGCUGAAUACGAAAUCUGAGAUUAAUCAUAGGACUAGUGUCAUCGUUAGAUUUGUCAUUGGCGUGACCAGUCAAAUGUUUUAUGAUCAAGGGUGUGUUUGGUAUGAAAUAUUUUCCGGAAAAUAUUUUCUAAUUUUUUCAUGUUUGGUUGUAUUAAAUAUUUUGGAAAAUAUUUUGUUUGUCAAUUCAUUUUUCUUUACGGAGGAAAAUGUAUUUCUCAAUCUUCCACACCUUUACUAACCCAUCUUCACCCCCUCUCCAAAAAAAUCUCACCCCCUCUCCAAAAAAAAUAUUUUGUUUUUACGAGACUUACAAUAACCUUUCGCAGGAGGGCCUUGGAUCUUAAAGCUGCUGAAGAUUGUUAAACGUAAUUAACUAUUCCACUUGAUCUCAGAGAGAUAAAGAGCAUUUUCGGAUACUAUCCACCUACUACCCCUUCACCCCAUUCCUCCCCUCCCCACAAAAAAAAUAUUUGUUACCUUAAUUUCAAGAAAACAUUUUCUUGUAAAAUAUUUUCCACAGAAAACAUUUUCUUGUAAAAUAUUUUCCACAGAAAACAUUUUCCAUUAUACCCAACACACCCCAAAUCUCCUAAAACCAAAUGCAAACACGCUAUUUUCAAGAACCUAAAUUGAGCCCGUUUUCAAAUCCAUACAACGAGUAUAAUUUAAGUAGUGGCUACUUUCUCAGUCUUUGCUAGUGUAAUCGAUUGUAAAUCUAUCUCUAUUGAAUUGGUAAUUUCUUCAACAUUAAAAUUGUCGUUAUGUUGAAUCAAAUCUGAAAUUGCAACCUGAACUAUUUUGAUCACAAGAUUGUAUGAACAUCUACAUCAUUAUUGUGGAUAAGUUAUUUGUCAUGAAAUGAUUCUUGUUAGAUGUAUAUUAUAGUUUAAAAGGUUGAGAAGCAC